AGAGUUCUCAGGUGACGCAACCCGGAAUCAGGCUCCCUCCUCUCUGGUUCCGGGUGCAUCACUCAGAACCGCA
rfam:Myotis davidii contig195738, whole genome shotgun sequence.